AUGUUUCUGUCCAGCCUUCUGAAGGUGGUAAUGGCUUCAAUGUGGCUGGGAUCCAGUAUUUCCCAAAAGGUAACUCAAGCCCCACCAGCGAUGUUAGUACAGGAGAAGGAGGCUGUCAUCCUGGAAUGCACAUAUGACACCAGCGAUCCAAAUUAUAGUCUAUUGUGGUACAAGCAGCCCAGCCGCGGGGAGAUGAUUUUCCUUGUUCGUCAAGAUUCUCACAACCAACAAAAUGCCACAGAAGGUCGCUACUCAUUGAAUUUCCAGAAGGCAAGAAAAUCCAUCCAUCUUGUCAUCUCAGCUUCACAGCUGGAGGACUCUGCAGUGUAUUUCUGUGCACUCAGGAGCCCACAGUGAGAGGCAAGCUGGAGGGAGGUGUACCCAAACCCCAGAGCUCUUGUUGAUACAUCCACCUGUUGUAGGGAUCAAGGCAGGGAAUUCCAUCCUACACAGGAAGUGGCUAAGGCUGGGGCAGCUCAGAUGGAGGGUUAGAGGGAAAACCUGACUCUAAGAAAAUACCUCUCUAGAUAAGAAUUAUCAUUCAUCAAAAACAUCCUUACCCCUGAAAAUUUGUGUUGAAAGGGUUUAUUGAAAACUAGAAAAGCCACGAUAAACAAUU